AUUGAACGCUGGCGGCAGGCCUAACACAUGCAAGUCGAACGAGUGGCGGACGGGUGAGUACUGUCUGGGAAACUGCCUGAUGGAGGGGGAUAACUACUGGAAACGGUAGCUAAUACCGCAUACCAUCAGAUGUGCCCAGAUGGGAUUAGCUAGUAGGUGGGGUAACGCCUCACCUAGGCGACGAUUCCUAGCUGGUCUGAGAGGAUGACCAGCAAAACCGGAACUGAGACACGGUCCAGCGUCUGACGAGAGGCAGCAGGGGGGACCAGUGCACAAUGGGCGCAAGCUUGAUGCAGCCAUGCCGCGUGUAUGAAGACGGCCUUCGGGUGGUAAAGUACAUUCAGCGGGGCGGCGUUUACCGCAGAAGAAGCACCGGCUAACUCCGUGCCAGCAGCCGCGGUAAUUC
rnacentral:rRNA from 1 species